AUGGCCAUAUCACCUUGAAACAUUGGUUCUCGUCCGAUCACCGAAGUUAAGCAAGGUCGAACACGAUCAGUACUUAGAUAGUCGAACUUGAUCUGUACUUAGAUGGGAAUACCAGGUGCUGUAA